UACGGAGGGGGCUAGCGUUGUUCGGAACUACUGGGCGUAAAGCGCGCGUAGGCGGCUUUGUAAGUUAGAGGUGAAAGCCCGAAGCUCAACUUCGGAAUUGCCUUUAAGACUGCAUCGCUAGAAUUGUGGAGAGGUAAGUGGAAUUCCGAGUGUAGAGGUGAAAUUCGUAGAUAUUCGGAAGAACACCAGUGGCGAAGGCGACUUACUGGACACAUAUUGACGCUGAGGUGCGAAAGCGUGGGGAGCAAACAGG
rnacentral:rRNA from 1 species